rnacentral:rRNA from 1 species
GAUGAACGCUGGCGGCGUGCCUAAUACAUGCAAGUCGAGCGAACGGACGAGAAGCUUGCUUUUCUGAUGUUAGCGGCGGACGGGUGAGUAACACGUGGAUAACCUACCUAUAAGACUGGGAUAACUUCGGGAAACCGGAGCUAAUACCGGAUAAUAUUUUGAACCGCAUGGUUCAAAAGUGAAAGACGGUCUUGCUGUCACUUAUAGAUGGAUCCGCGCUGCAUUAGCUAGUUGGUAAGGUAACGGCUUGCCAAGGCAACGAUGCAUAGCCGACCUGAGAGGGUGAUCGGCCACACUGGAACUGAGACACGGUCCAGACUCCUACGGGAGGCAGCAGUAGGGAAUCUUCCGCAAUGGGCGAAAGCCUGACGGAGCAACGCCGCGUGAGUGAUGAAGGUCUUCGGAUCGUAAAACUCUGUUAUUAGGGAAGAACAUAUGUGUAAGUAACUGUGCACAUCUUGACGGUACCUAAUCAGAAAGCCACGGCUAACUACGUG